rnacentral:rRNA from 1 species
GAUGAACGCUGGCGGCGUGCCUAAUACAUGCAAGUCGAGCGAACGGACGAGAAGCUUGCUUCUCUGAUGUUAGCGGCGGACGGGUGAGUAACACGUGGAUAACCUACCUAUAAGACUGGGAUAACUUCGGGAAACCGGAGCUAAUACCGGAUAAUCUUUUGAACCGUAGGGUUCAAUAGUGAAAGACGGCCGUGCUGGCGCUUGUGGAUGGAUCCGCGCUGCAUUAGCUUGUUGGUGGGGUAGUGGCUUACCAAGGCUACGAUGGAUAGCCGGCAUGAGAGGGUGACCGGCCACAGUGGGACUGAGAUACGGCCCAGACUCCUACGGGAGGCAGCAGUGGGGAAUAUUGCACAAUGGGCGGAAGCCUGAUGCAGCAACGCCGCGUGCGGGAUGACGGCCUUCGGGUUGUAAACCGCUUUCGCCUGUGACGAAGCGUGAGUGACGGUAAUGGGUAAAGAAGCACCGGCUAACUACGUG